rnacentral:rRNA from 1 species
GUAGAUAUCAGGAGGAACACCGGUGGCGAAGGCGACUUUCUGGCCCUAUACUGACGCUGAGACGCGAAAGCGUGGGUAGCAAACAGGAUUAGAUACCCUGGUAGUCCACGCUGUAAACGAUGUUCACUAGGUGUUGGGGGUAUUGACCCUUCCAGUGCCGCAGCUAACGCAUUAAGUGAACCGCCUGGGGAGUACGGUCGCAAGAUUAAAACUCAAAGGAACUGACGGGGGCCCGCACAAGCGGUGGAGCAUGUGGUUUAAUUCGAUGCAACGCGAAGAACCUUACCUAGACUUGACAUCCCGGGAAUCCUUAGGAAACUAAGGAGUGCCUUUCGGGGAGCCCGGAGACAGGUGCUGCAUGGCUGUCGUCAGCUCGUGUCGUGAGAUGUUGGGUUAAGUCCCGCAACGAGCGCAACCCUAUCUUUAAUUGCCAUCAUUCAGUUGGGCACUUUAAGAGACUGCCGGUGUUAAGCCGGAGGAAGGUGGGGAUGACGUCAAGUCCUCCAUGGCCUUUAUGUCUAGGUUACACCGGUGCUACAAUGGGGUG